rnacentral:rRNA from 1 species
UAAUGUAUGGGGAUCUGCCCGAUAGAGGGGGGUAACUACUGGAAACGGUGGCUAAUACCGCAUAAUGUCUACGGACCAAAGCAGGGGCUCUUCGGACCUUGCACUAUCGGAUGAACCCAUAUGGGAUUAGCUAGUAGGUGGGGUAAAGGCUCACCUAGGCGACGAUCUCUAGCUAGUCUGAGAGGAUGAUCAGCCACACUGGGACUGAGACACGGCCCAG